AAGUCGUAACAAGGUUUCCGUAGGUGAACCUGCGGAAGGAUCAUUACCGAGUUAGGGUGGCUCUGCCGCCCGACCUCCCAACCCUUUGUUUAAACCGACCACCGUUGCUUCGGCGAGCCGCGUCCCCUCGGGGCCACGCCGGGGGCCUCACCGUCCCUGGAGAGCGCUCGUCGAUAGCCAAAUCUUAAACUCUUUACAAAAUACCUACCUAAAUCUUGUAUAUCUUAAUGAUAAAACAAAACUUUCAACAACGGAUCUCUUGGUUCUGGCAUCGAUGAAGAACGCAGCGAAAUGCGAUAAGUAAUGCGAAUUGCAGAAUUUCCGUGAGUCAUCGAAUCUUUGAACGCACAUUGCGCCCUUUGGCAUUCCGAAGGGCAUGCCUGUUCGAGCGUCAUUAUCAACCUUCAAACCCCGUGUUUGGCGUUGGGCCCAGGUCGUGCUCUCCCGCGCGACCGGCUCCAAAGACAAUGACGGCGUCCGUGGGACCCUCGGUGCAACGAGCUUUUUCCAAAGCACGCGUCGAAGUGGAUCUGCGGGGGCCGGUCUCUGAUGAUUUUACAUCACUUCUCAGGUUGACCUCGGAUCAGGUAGGGAUACCCGCUGAACUUAA
rnacentral:rRNA from 1 species